AUUGAACGCUGGCGGUAGGCUUAACACAUGCAAGUCGAACGGUAGCAGCUCUAGCUUGCUAGAGGCUGACGAGUGGCGGACGGGUGAGUAACGCGUAGGAAUCUACCUAAUAGUGGGGGACAACCUGGUGAAAACCAGGCUAAUACCGCAUACGCCUACGGGGAAGGACGGGGAGUCUUCGGACCUCGCGCUAUUAGAUGAGCCUGCGUUAGAUUAGCUAGUUGGUGGGGUAAAGGCUCACCAAGGCGACGAUCUAUAGCUGGUCUGAGAGGAUGAUCAGCCACACUGGGACUGAGACACGGCCCAGACUCCUACGGGAGGCAGCAGUGGGGAAUAUUGCGCAAUGGGCGAAAGCCUGACGCAGCCAUACCGCGUGUGU
rnacentral:rRNA from 1 species